GAUGAAGAACGCAGCGAAAUGCGAUAAGUAGUGUGAAUUGCAGAAUUCAGUGAAUCAUCGAAUCUUUGAACGCACAUUGCGCCCCUUGGUAUUCCAUGGGGCAUGCCUGUUCGAGCGUCAUUUGUACCUUCAAGCUUGCUUGGUGUUGGGUGUUUGUCCAUUCUCUUGCAGAGGGACUCGCCUUAAAGUAAUUGGCAGCCAGUGUUUUGGUUUUGAAGCGCAGCACAAGUCGCGAUUCAAAGCUAUACGCCCGCUUCCACAAGCCUUUUUCACUUUUGACCUCGGAUCAGGUAGGGAUACCCGCUGAACUUAAGCAUAUCAAUAAGCGGAGGA
rnacentral:misc_RNA from 1 species